rnacentral:rRNA from 1 species
UGAAGUCGUAACAAGGUAGCCGUAGGGGAACCUGCGGCUGGAUCACCUCCUUAAUCGACGAC